GAUGAACGCUAGCGGCAGGCUUAAUACAUGCAAGUCGAGGGGCAGCAUGAUUGUAGCAAUACAAUUGAUGGCGACCGGCAAACGGGUGCGGAACACGUACACAACCUUCCAAUAAGUGGGGAAUAGCCCAGAGAAAUUUGGAUUAAUACCCCGUAACAUAACGAUGUGGCAUCACAUUGUUAUUAUAGAUUUUUCGCUUAUUGAUGGGUGUGCGGCUGAUUAGAUAGUUGGCGGGGUAACGGCCCACCAAGUCUACGAUCAGUAGCUGAUGUGAGAGCAUGAUCAGCCACACGGGCACUGAGACACGGGCCCGACUCCUACGGGAGGCAGCAGUAAGGAAUAUUGGACAAUGGACGCAAGUCUGAUCCAGCCAUGCCGCGUGAAGGAUUAAGGUCCUCUGGAUUGUAAACUUCUUUUAUAAGGGACGAAAAAAGGCUUUUCUAAGUCGUCUGACGGUACCUUAUGAAUAAGCACCGGCUAACUCCGUGCCAGCCGCCGCCGUAA
rnacentral:rRNA from 1 species